rnacentral:lncRNA from 1 species
CAGUCGAUGAAGAAAAAUUAGGCAGUGGAUGCAUUUGAUGACAGGUACCUUACCCCGAAGCCAAUUGGUUGGUUUCUCCUUCACAUGAAAGGCUUAUUUAUUCUUAAAGUGGAAAUAUAACAAGAUAAGGGAAAUAAAAAGAAAAAGAAUUCUGGACUUUGAUGUGCUGCAUUUUGUGGGCAAAUCUGAAAAAGAAUGAUGGAUUCGUCAAUGCCUUCUCUCCUCCAUUUGGUCCAUUUUGUUCUUCAAUCUCUCGAACCUUGCGCUUCCUGCAAAAGGAGGGAGUCACAAAUGAUAAACUUAACAAUCAUUUGGGCCACCAGAAAGGAAAAUGCACUACACAGAGAAGAAUUGAAAGGUGAAAACUGAAAAACACUAUUGAUGUAGUUAAGAAUAACAGCUUUGCUCUUCACAUGGGAAAAAAGAAGAAAAAUAAGUGCCUCACACACUUAGCACUAGAGUAUACCUCUGGAAUACUUAGUAGACUAUAAAAUUGAAACGCAGCAUAUGCUUAUAUGCUUAAAAUAGUUCUUAAUUUUGUAUUUCCAUUCUCAUCUUAAAAAUCAGUAUAAAUGUCUUACUGUAUUGGAACUUUUUCUUCUCUGCAGGCACAUUCAAUAAAACUAGCAACAAACAGCAUCAGUCAAUAUCAAUACCAACCAAAUACCUGGAUGAAAAGAUUUAGUUUUGGACAAGAUAGAUUAGUAAUGUUUCUUCUUAUCUCACCUCUAGUCUGCAAGGGAACAAUUAGAAAGCAGCUCAUCAGCCAUAUGUCCUUCAAAUAGGUAGGUUGUUGUGUCUGAAGGCUUCGGAUUACUUGGCGUAGGUCCCAUAUGUCCAGAUUGUGAAGAAGCUGAUGAUUGUGCACCUUCGGUUUUUUUUAUUGCCGGAG